GAUCGUGAUGAACGUCUGACUAAUGUCGAAGAGAAGCUAGUACACACUAAAGGAGUGAAUGAACAACUGAUCGAGGUGAUCGCAGAACUGAAGAACAAGCUGAAGGAAGAAGCUACUAAGAGGGCAGGAGCUGAAGACACAUACGAAGAAGCUUAUCAAUGAACCGGGAUAGCAGUAAGAGACGUAUAAUCAAAGAGGAUGAAGAUGGAGGAGAUGGAUAAAGUAUUCAAUAUCGUGAUCAAUCGAGCUCAAGAUCGGGUCAUGGGUUAUCCAAUUCAGUUCGAGACUCUUCCAUCGUACGUGUUAGAUCGCCGAACAAUGUUCCAGGUUAUGGAAGAAGAAUGUUGAAAGGCUACAGAGUAUCUUAGUAGAACAUUAUAGGAAAUGUGCCUGUUAUGCAAAUAAUAAAUGUUAAAUAAUGUGUAAAUCCCAAGUGUUAUGUAACCUAUGGGAUAUGAUGAUG
rnacentral:lncRNA from 1 species